GGAAGUAAAAGUUGUAACAAGGUUUCCGUAGGUGAACCUGCGGAAGGAUCAUUAUUGAAUGAAACACUUCUGGCUUUAUGCUGUUGUGCUGGCCCUUUGGGCAAUGUGCACACGGCUCUGGUCACUUGUUUCUUCUGUUCCAACUGUGCACUGCCUGUAGACACGCUGUGUCUAUGAUAUUUGUUAACACACAACAAUGUUAGUUGGCAUGUUAUAUAUAAUAAUAAAAUAUACAACUUUCAACAACGGAUCUCUUGGCUCUC
rnacentral:misc_RNA from 1 species